GCCGGGCAUGGUGGCCCAUGCCUGUAAUCCCAGCGAGUCAGGAGGCUGAGGUAGGAGGAUUGUGAGUUCAAAGCCAGCCUCAGCAAAAGUGAGGAACUAAGCAACUCAGUGAGACCCUGUCUCUA
rnacentral:sRNA from 1 species